rnacentral:lncRNA from 1 species
UUCAAAUAUGCAGUAUAGUCAGAAUACUCUGAACUCUGCAUUUUCACCAUUCUCAACUCAAUCAUUCACUAUCAAACUCUUCUAUAUAGGUCUAAUACUGACCUUUUCCACAAUUCACCAUCUCAAUUAAUCAACAUACUAGAAAUCAUAUGUCUAAACUUAAGAAUCCUAAUCUCUUUAAAUAUCCACACUUAACUUGAUCAUCUAACUAGACUCUAUGCUUCACUCACAUCUCUAGACUAUGUCUAAAUAGUCUCACAAUACCUCGAUACGAGGUCACACAACGUCUAACCUAUAUAAAACUUAAAACUAUAAUCUAUAUUCAAAUUCCAAUAACUUGUAACCUGUUGCUCUGAUACCAACUGUGACAGUCCGGGAAUCCGGGGGUCUG